rnacentral:rRNA from 1 species
CAGGCCUAACACAUGCAAGUCGAACGAGAAAUCGGAUCUAGUGGCGCACGGGUGAGUAACGCGUGGAAACCUGCCUAUCUGUACGGAAUAACGUUUGGAAACGAGCGCUAAUACCGUAUACGCCCUGUGGGGGAAAGGUCCGCCGCAGAUAGAGGGGUCCGCGUCCGAUUAGCUUGUUGGUGGGGUAAUGGCCUACCAAGGCGACGAUCGGUAGCUGGUCUGAGAGGAUGAUCAGCCACACUGGGACUGAGACACGGCCCAGACUCCUACGGGAGGCAGCAGUGGGGAAUAUUGGACAAUGGGGGCAACCCUGAUCCAGCAAUGCCGCGUGUGUGAUGAAGGCCUUAGGGUUGUAAAGCACUUUCAAUGGUGAAGAUGAUGACGGUAACCAUAGAAGAAGCCCCGGCUAACUUCGUGCCAGCAGCCGCGGUAAUACGAAGGGGGCGAGCGUUGUUCGGAAUUACUGGGCGUAAAGGGCGCGCAGGCGGUCAAUUCAGUUAGGUGUGAAAGCCCCGGGCUUAACCUGGGAACUGCACUUAAUACUGAUUGACUAGAAAACGGAAGAGGAGAGUGGAAUUCCCAGUGUAGAGGUGAAAUUCGUAGAUAUUGGGAAGAACACCAGUGGCGAAAGCGGCUCUCUGGUCCGAUU